GCCUGAACUUUCUCAUCCAACACCCGUUCAAGUCGGAGGAUGCUGAUUAAUUCAUGAUGGAAAGGUAUCAAUUUCACAGCCCAGACCUCUACAUUCUUGAAAUGCUCUUCUCAUGGGAGACAUUAAAUAAGCUUUGAAUUAACUGAAGAACCAAUGAUGUGAUCCCUGGAUACUGGCAAUUGUUGCCCAAGAAAACCUCUCCCCUUGCUGUGGGACUGCUGGGCACCCAAAUAAUGCACCCAAAUAAUUUGAUAGCUCUUGUUACACAGCUCUUCUUGGACUAAAAGGCCCUCAGCAUUCCUGUCAAUUUCUACACUCCUGAAGCUUCAUCUGACCUCUGUGGAUUCUAUAACUCAAAGACCCAGGCUGACGGCUGGUGGAAUAGCUACCAUCUCAAACAUGGCGUGAUGCUGCAUCAGAGAGAAAAAUAAGCUCUUGCAUUGACAAUGAAAUGUCUACCCUGUAGUGACUUGUGCUUACUUCCACUCACAAGUGAUUGCCCAGAGCUACUUACCUGGCUCCAAUCUACCACUGGGACCUUGUAUUGAAGACAGCGUAACCCCCAAGAGGAAAGGAGCUUGGAGCCCUGAAUCAGAGUAGAAGACAGGCUGAAUGAAUACCAGCCUUGGACUGUUGUGUGAAUGAAAAACAAGUUUUGAGAUUUGUG
rnacentral:lncRNA from 10 species